GUGAACGCUGGCGGUAGGCCUAACACAUGCAAGUCGAACGGCAGCACCGUAAGAGCUUGCUCUUACGGGUGGCGAGUGGCGGACGGGUGAGGAAUACAUCGGAAUCUACUUUUUCGUGGGGGAUAACGUAGGGAAACUUACGCUAAUACCGCAUACGACCUACGGGUGAAAGCAGGGGAUCUUCGGACCUUGCGCGAUUGAAUGAGCCGAUGUCGGAUUAGCUAGUUGGCGGGGUAAAGGCCCACCAAGGCGACGAUCCGUAGCUGGUCUGAGAGGAUGAUCAGCCACACUGGAACUGAGACACGGUCCAGACUCCUACGGGAGGCAGUAGUGGGGAAUAUUGGACAAUGGGCGCAAGCCUGAUCCAGCCAUACCGCGUGGGUGAAGAAGGCCUUCGGGUUGUAAAGCCCUUUUGUUGGGAAAGAAAAGCAGCAGGUUAAUACCCCGCUGUUCUGACGGUACCCAAAGAAUAAGCACCGGCUAACUUCGUG
rnacentral:rRNA from 1 species